AUUAGGUCCUGUUACUCCAGGGAGGAGGCUGUCCAGUCACAUCCUGGGACUACUACUGAUUGAGGUAGGAAGGGAGCCCUGAUCAACUGCUGUCAGGACCCUGGUAUUGACCCCAGAACUGCUAGGUCCUUAGGCAGCAUCGUUGGCUGCUGUGCCACAAUGUGCACUGAACCACUGCCCAGACCAAUAGCCAUUCUGCUGAAGGUCUACAGACCCACAGCAGCCAUGCCCCAGGCCCCUGAUUGGAUGGACAGGCAGUACGCUCACUGGAUACCCAGACUAUAUAAAAGCCACAACAGGAAGAGGAAGCUGUCAGAGAAACAAAGAAUUGGCUGCUGGUUGCUGCCUAGACUGCCCUGCCCUGCUGCCUUGCCUGACCCUGCCUUGCCCGACCUCGCCUCCCCAACCCACUGACCCAGCAUCAUGGAUUGGAUCUUCUGUCUAUUGAUCUCUGCGAGAACUCUGACCUGCCCUGGACACCAAUUGACCUCUCAGCCACCCAGCCACCUGCGCACACUUGACUACUGCUCUGGACUGCCACUGGGAUUUACAACAGCUGAGGAUGGUGAUUAUAGGCUGCAGCUGUCCUCUCCACCUCCUCUCAACCCUUCCCAAAUGUCCUGGUACUACAAGUACGGAAAGGGUUGGCCCUCCGAAUAAUAGCACAUCAGCAACAUUGUUCGUAUCAUGAGCAGAACAGAAACACAUUCAACACUGAAAGAUUUGUAUAGUGACAUACAAGCAGCACACAUUUAGUUCAUCAUCUGGUCCCCGGAUCUAAAGGACAUCUGCACUUUGCUUUCUCAUUUAAAUCCUUUUCCACAGAAGCAAUACAUAACACACCCAGUGAACAAAGCAAUGCCAGCUGAUUAACAUCUGUUGGUUUGAUUAAAAUCAUAUAGAUGGCAGAAUUUCAGGUUCCAGUAACUCUGGCUUGCACUUGCAACAAAGAAAGACAUUGUGUAACCUGCUGCUGUUGCUGUAGCAGCUCAUAUGCUUUAGAUUCACAUUUCACACCUGAAAAUGAGGAUCUAGGCUGCCUGGCCUACUUGUGUAAACUCCCUUUUAUGUUAAACCAAUAAAAGAUAUUAACAGACA